rnacentral:ribozyme from 14 species
AGAAAAAAGCCUCAAUGUCAAAAAUAUGCCCCACCAUGUCAGGGCAACCAUCAGACCUUCCUUUCCUUUUUCCUUUUUCUUUUCUUUUUUUUGUUUUGU